rnacentral:misc_RNA from 1 species
GAUGAAGAACGCAGUGAAAUGCGAUAAGUAAUGUGAAUUGCAGAAUUCAGUGAAUCAUCGAAUCUUUGAACGCACAUUGCGCCCCCUGGUAUUCCGGGGGGCAUGCCUGUCCGAGCGUCAUUACAACCCUCAAGCUCAGCUUGGUGUUGGGCCCCGCCGCCCCGGCGGGCCCUAAAGUCAGUGGCGGUGCCGUCCGGCUCCGAGCGUAGUAAUUCUUCUCGCUCUGGAGGUCCGGUCGUGUGCUCGCCAGCAACCCCCAAUUUUUUUCAGGUUGACCUCGGAUCAGGUAGGGAUACCCGCUGAACUUAAGCAUAUCAUAAGCGGAGGA